GACUGUUCCGGAUGGGUGGGGGACCUGGUAUGGACAAGUAAGGGUAACAUUUCCAACAAAUCUUAAAUGUAAAUAUUAUUAUGUCCAUAGAUUGAAGUUUCAGGUGGAGAGCAAGAUGAAAAAUAUGCCAAAUUACAUGCAUGCAACCCAUUUAUGCCAUUUUUCUCUUUGUUUGUAGGCCUGACCAUUUGUCCUUGAGCCGCAGAUGGUCAACAAUCCGCUAGCUGUCUUGCUCUGACUGGUGCACUGGACAUGAUUUCAAUAGUCAGCCAGACCAUGAUUGAGCUUAAGGAUUGUGCUGCGGAUGCGGCCUGUGCAGUUCCGGGAGAAAGUCACUGUCUUGGCCAAUGCGGUCUGGUAUCAGGUCUGGUUGAUCCUUGCCUGACUGCGGGUUUGUGUACACCUCAAUCCGACUCUGUGUCCUGAACAGAGGCCUCAGUGGUGCAGCGCUUGUGGACGAUCCAUCAACAUCCUGAAAGGUCAACACUUCACCAAGCUGGGAAAAUUGAUCCUGAUAGUCAUCCCCAGAGUCAGCCAGACCAUGAUUGAGCUUAAGGAUUGUACUGCGGAUGCGGCCUGUGCAGUUCCGGGAAAAAGUCACUGUCUUGGCCAAUGCGGUCUGGUAUCAGGUCUGGAUGAUCCUUGCCUGACUGCGGGUUUGUGUACACCUCAAUCCGACUCUGUGUCCUGAACAGAGGCAUCAGUGGUGCAGCGCUUGUGGACGAUCCAUCAACAUCCUGAAAGGUCAACACUUCACCAAGCUGGGAAAAUUGAUCCUGAUAGUCAUCCCCAGGCCUGACCAUUUGUCCUUGAGCCGCAGAUGGUCAACAAUCCGCUAGCUGUCUUGCUCUGACUGGUGCACUGGACAUGAUUUCAAUAGUCAGCCAGACCAUGAUUGAGCUUAAGGAUUGUGCUGCGGAUGCGGCCUGUGCAGUUCCGGGAGAAAGUCACUGUCUUGGCCAAUGCGGUCUGGUAUCAGGUCUGGAUGAUCCUUGCCUGACUGCGGGUUUGUGUACACCUCAAUCCGACUCUGUGUCCUGAACAUAGGCCUCAGUGGUGCAGCGCUUGUGGACGAUCCAUCAACAUCCUGAAAGGUCAACACUUCACCAAGCUGGGAAAAUUGAUCCUGAUAGUCAUCCCCAGGCCUGACCAUUUGUCCUUGAGCCGCAGAUGGUCAACAAUCCGCUAGCUGUCUUGCUCUGACUGGUGCACUGGACAUGAUUUCAAUAGUCAGCCAGACCAUGAUUGAGCUUAAGGAUUGUGCUGCGGAUGCGGCCUGUGCAGUUCCGGGAGAAAGUCACUGUCUUGGCCAAUGCGGUCUGGUAUCAGGUCUGGAUGAUCCUUGCCUGACUGCGGGUUUGUGUACACCUCAAUCCGACUCUGUGUCCUGAACAUAGGCCUCAGUGGUGCAGCGCUUGUGGACGAUCCAUCAACAUCCUGAAAGGUCAACACUUCACCAAGCUGGGAAAAUUGAUCCUGAUAGUCAUCCCCAGAGUCAGCCAGACCAUGAUUGAGCUUAAGGAUUGUGCUGCGGAUGCGGCCUGUGCAGUUCCGGGAGAAAGUCACUGUCUUGGCCAAUGCGGUCUGGUAUCAGGUCUGGAUGAUCCUUGCCUGACUGCGGGUUUGUGUACACCUCAAUCCGACUCUGUGUCCUGAACAUACGCCUCAGUGGUGCAGCGCUUGUGGACGAUCCAUCAAUAUCCUGAAAGGUCUACACUUCACCAAGCUGGGAAAAUUGAUCCUGAUAGUCAUCCCCAGGUAGUGGAAUGAAUGUACACUGAACUACAGAGGAAUCACACCCAAAUGACUUUCCUGCCACGACAUUAGUGUGGCCCCUCGCGUAGGAAUUCCUUAGCAAACAUGCUCUUUUGCAUGGUGACUGUGGGCAUUUUUGCAAAACUUAAGCUUUCAA